rnacentral:rRNA from 1 species
CGACCUACGGGUGAAAGGGGGCGCAAGCUCUUGCUAUUAGAUGAGCCUAAAUCAGAUUAGCUAGUUGGUGGGGUAAAGGCCUACCAAGGCGACGAUCUGUAACUGGUCUGAGAGGAUGAUCAGUCACACCGGAACUGAGACACGGUCCGGACUCCUACGGGAGGCAGCAGUGGGGAAUAUUGGACAAUGGGGGCAACCCUGAUCCAGCCAUGCCGCGUGUGUGAAGAAGGCCUUUUGGUUGUAAAGCACUUUAAGCAGGGAGGAGAGGCUAAUGGUUAAUACCCAUUAGAUUAGACGUUACCUGCAGAAUAAGCACCGGCUAACUCUGUGCCAGCAGCCGCGGUAAUACAGAGGGUGCGAGCGUUAAUCGGAAUUACUGGGCGUAAAGCGAGUGUAGGUGGCUCAUUAAGUCACAUGUGAAAUCCCCGGGCUUAACCUGGGAACUGCAUGUGAUACUGGUGGUGCUAGAAUAUGUGAGAGGGAAGUAGAAUUCCAGGUGUAGCGGUGAAAUGCGUAGAGAUCUGGAGGAAUACCGAUGGCGAAGGCAGCUUCCUGGCAUAAUAUUGACACUGAGAUUCGAAAGCGUGGGUAGCAAACAGGAUUAGAUACCCUGGUAGUCCACGCCGUAAACGAUGUCUACUAGCCGUUGGGGUCCUUGAGACUUUAGUGGCGCAGUUAACGCGAUAAGUAGACCGCCUGGGGAGUACGGCCGCAAGGUUAAAACUCAAAUGAAUUGACGGGGGCCCGCACAAGCGGUGGAGCAUGUGGUUUAAUUCGAUGCAACGCGAAGAACCUUACCUGGUCUUGACAUAGUGAGAAUCCUGCAGAGAUGCGGGAGUGCCUUCGGGAAUUCACAU